GUCGGUUAUUGGAGAUGCGCGCUGGGGGCUCAAGAGUCAAUUAAAGUAUAAUUCACUAUUUAGUUUAAGUGUACACGUACGGUAAAUGUCGGAGUGAGUUGGUAGAGGUGUCGAGAGUGUGAUCAGCCCGAGACAACGGCAAUCGCAACCUCUGACCGUCUUCGCGUGUUCAUUCUCCUGAGUUCACGACACCAGGUUCCAUUACUUUCUGCCGGUUCCAAUCGCUAUCUUCCUUUCCAGUCCUUUUCCCUCCCGCCCGUUUCUUCCUACCUUUCUUUUCUACUCACUACUUUCUCCUCUCUUUCCUGCACUUCACGUCUAUCUCCCCCUGUCUUUUGUCUCCUCCUUUUCACCUUCUUUCUAUAUCCCUUCUCUUCCCUCUCACUCUUUCCUUCUCAAUUUGCUUCCCUUUGGUCCAGCUCUUUUCUGGACUCUCCUUUCCUGUUCUCCCACCCUUAGCAACACGUUCAUCUCUUUUUUCUGUUCUCCUCUAACACUUUCAUCCACUUUCCUAACCACUUCUUCCUUUCCCUUAUUUUCAUGUCCCUCCUCUUCCCUCAAACACGUUAGUCUCUUUCCUCCCUUCCUACCCUUUCUACUUUCCCUCUGUUCUCUCUUAACCUUUCUCUCAGUUUCCCCUUCACCUCUCAAGAGUGUGGGGCUCUACUGCUGGGGGAAGCAGCCACCAACGUCGCCACCUAAUGUUGCACGUGACUACGACUAUCAACUGACCCCAACAACAGGUGGGUAGGAGAGGACAGUGACUUUGUCCACCAAGACAUCAACGAUCACCUGACACCUGACACGGAUUAUGGCGGUCAGUGACCACGCCGAGUAAAGCAGCAGCGGCUACCAGGAUAUACUUACAGGUUUCUCGCUACUCCACCAACACUUUCUCGACUAAUGGGACUGGAUUAAAAGACUGGCGUGACCACCACUGCCAUCAACGUGGCCAGCUCAUGUUGCUCGGUGAUUACGACGAUCACACCAUCGACCUCAUCAACAGCUGGCUAGGAAAGGACGACGACUGCGCCGAACAAAGCAACGGCGGCUACCCAAGGGAUGUAUUCCUUUCCUAUUCCUUGCACUGUUUUCCUCCCUCUCUCUCCUUCCUAUCCUUUGGUACAUCGCAAACAAUCUUUUCAAAACAAUUUGUAUUUCGUUCCCCUAAGUGGCACCCACGUGGCAUCUUAAAUCUUAACCAAUAACAAAAACUAAGAGGGCUUAAAAAAAUCUCAAAAACCAAUAAAAUGUCAAAAUUAGAUAUAUAAACUUUAAUUUUUUUGUUAAUUUAUGAAACAGAAAUGAAUUAGAUGCAAAAAUGCAAACGUUAAGGGCCUAAAAAAUCUUUCCGUUUUGUGGUUGAUAAAAAUAUAUUAAAACCUUUGAAAUUAACACAAAUCUGAACGAAAAUAUGAGUAAACACGAUGCCGCUAUUUCGCCUUGCUAGUAGGUCUGGGUCCACCGCUUUCCGCACCAAGUGGUGUAAAAUGGCGGGAGCCGCAGCCAUAUGGCAUCUGGAACUAUAUAUAUAUAAAACCAAUAAGAGUUAUAAACAUAAGGGUAACAAAAUGCUUAUGUACAUAUGUGGUUGCAAAGAAAUUCAUAAAACCUUUGAGGGGAAAAUGUGAAUAAUGGCAAGAGUGGCAGCCACAUGGCAUCUCCAUGAAAAGUUGAAAACUUACAUGGCUUACAAAAGGCUUGUCCAUUUAUGUGGUUAAAAAAUCAGAGCAUCUCACACAACCAAUACAAGUUUGAAGCUGUAAGAGCGCUUGCAAAAACUUGGCGAUUUAUGUGUCGAUAAAGCAAAUCGUUAAAUACUUGCAAAAACAAAACGAUGUGAAACAGAAAUGAGAAGAUGCCUCUACUUCGCCAUUAAGUCUGUGUCAACAACUGCCCACACAAAGCGAUACAAAAAUGGCGGGAGUGGCAGCAAACUGGCAUCUCAAGGUUUUAAUCAUUGAUUGGUUUUAAGAGGCAACAAAGUGCUUAUCCUUUAUGUGGUUAAUCAUUUCAAAAAAACUUACAAAAUGAUCUCUAAAACGGAGAUGAAUAAGAUGCUUGCACUUUGCCAUGCUAGAAGGUCUGUGUCGACCGCUUCCUGCACUAAUGGCGGAAGCGGCGGUCAUAUGGCAUCUGAAACUAUCCAAUACGAGUUAUAAACAUAAGGAGCAACAAAAUACUUAUGCGUAUCUGUGGUUGCAAAAAAGAAAAUCACAAAACCUUUGACUGAAAAGUCUAUAAAACAGGAAUGAUACGAUGCCUACACCUUGUCAUGCUAAGUCUGUGUCGACUGUUUCCCACACCAUGCAAUGCAAUAGGGCGCCAUUUUGCAUUGCUUGGUGUGGGAAGCUGCAGCCAACUGGUAUCUUCUUGUAGGAUAACGGAUGUACGUCACAGGUCUCUGGAUGCUAUUUGAACAGAGGCGAGCGAAGGUCACCUCGAGUACGAGUGAUUGUUCAGAGGGGAGUACAGGGUGGGGCGUGAAGCUGUGUGCGUUAAAGGGAUAUUAUAGUUUGUUUGCUGUUUUAUUUUCGUUUUUUUUUUUUUUUUGUUUUUUUUUUUUUUGCUUCUUUUGUUGUUGUUUUUGGACUGUUUUAUAUAAGUGUCGGGUAUGGAGCAACGAGCAGAUGGAGGGCGAGUGACAUCACCGUUUGUGUUUAGCUCCGCCUACAGGUCCGCCAUUUUGUUAUGGUCGUCAAGAGUUACGCGAUAAGAAAUAUAUUAUGUACUCAAACCAAUAAAGAGUUAAAAACAUAAAGGAGAAACAAAAUAUUUGAAUUAGAAGCAAAAAUGCAAACAGAAAGAGACACAAAAUCCUUCCGUUUUGUGGUUCAAGGUUGAUAAAAAAAUCCAUUAAAAUCUGUAAAGACCGCUUCCCGCACCAAGCAAUUCAAAAUGGUGGAAGCGGCUGCCAACUGCAUCUCAAACUAAACAAUAAAGAGUUAUAAACAUGUGGUUGCAAAAAAAAAACAACCUCAUAAAACCUUUGACAGAGAGUUUUACUAAAUAUGAAUGAAUACGAUGCCUACACUUCGCCAUGCUAGUAGGUCUGGAUCGACCGCUUCCCGCACCAUGUGAUGAAUAAUGGCGGGAGCGGCAGACACAUGGCAUCUGGUACUAACCAAUGAAAAGUUAAAAACGUAUUUUUUUAUGGUUAUAUUUUAAGGUCUUAAUAAAAUUACUUAUCACAUUAAUGGAGAAGCCUACUGCGCUGUGCAAGGUCCGUGUCCAUCUCUUUCCUCCCAAGACGAUACGAAAUGGCGGAAGCGACAGCCGUAUAGCAUGUCUAGCUAUCCACUCAAAUGUUAACUUACAAGGCUAGGUUCUAUAUUCAUAACAAAAAAUUUUGAAAUAGCAAUAGAUUAAAUGAAAAAUUGCAAACGUAAGAGGCUUAAAAUGGUACAUAUUUACAUGGAUGACAAAAUAAAUCCCUUAGAAAAAUAUGAACAAGAAAUGAAGAAGAUGCCUCCACCUUGCCAUCCUAGUCAGUCUGUCGAUCGCUUUUCGCUUACCAAAUGAUGCGAAAAUAGCGGGAGAGGCAACCACAUGGCACUUCAAGGUAACCCAUGCAAAGUUAAAAAACUUAAUAGGCUUUCGAAAUGCUUAUACAUUUAUUUGGUUAUAAAACCUUAGAAACAAACAAUAUUUUAAACAUAUAAAAAUUACAAAUGAAUGAGGUGAUGAUCCAUUGUAGAAGGUGUCAUCAAAAAUGGUGCAACAAUGUCGGGAGCGGCAAUCACAGGGUAUCUUGAACUGACCAAUUAAAAAUUAAAUGUUGAGGACAUCGUCUAGAGAUGCUAGACAGAGCACAUUAACCAGAGGAACGAAAAGUACUAGCAGUGGGUCACGUGGCACCCUGACCAUGCCUACUAUGCCACAAUGUCCGUCUGGUUAAUAGUCAAACCCUAAGUUUGGUGCAAUGUAUGUGAGUAACUUGGGACACUUGGUACCUCUUGCGCGUGAUAAGGCACGAUAACCACAUCGAUUCUGUCACGUGGCCCAGUUUUUAUGUAAAUUUUUAUGUAAAUGUUAACAGACUGUUCUUUUGUGAAGUUAGUACCGCGGACUUUUUCUUUGGUUGUUCUGUGCAAUCUUGCUACACAAAGGUUUGUGCGCUUCAGCUGUCCACGUCUACCGACCUUAAUUAAUACACGUGGCCUCUGACCGAUAAUCUGUGAAAACUGUCAACCAUCUUUGCAGUGUCAUAGAUAGUUGUUAUAGUUUCAAGAUUAGUUGCUUGGUGCCUUUGGGUAACCCUUCUCAUUUUUUUUCUGUUUCACCCCGAGACAUCUAUUCAACAACACUGCGGCCAAGAAAGUGGAUUCACGUGGACGGCUGAGGAAACAUAAGAUGAAAAUUGCAAUACAUCGGUGGUUUGGAGGUCAUUCGGGGACAAACUCUGCCGACAAGAGGAAUAAACAAACUGCAAUGGAAGGAAUGGAAAACCAGUCCAGUCAAUUCUACAAGGAACAAAAGGAGGACAGCGUGUAUCUUCUGAGGGGAAACCUAUCAUAGUGGCCACUAUUCAUCGGACAAAGUUCCGUGACGUCAUCCCAUUCCUCUGAUAUCAAGUAUACAGAUGCCAGGACAAACACGAGAAACUUGACAUUUUUGGCGUGGAACUGAGAAUUGUGAGAGGAUGUAGUUAGCACUGAGUUUUCUCUGUGCGAGUUGUCUAAGUAGAAUUAUUUGGUUUUUACACUGUCUUGGAGAGUAUUCGUGUUAUUGUGAUCUGACCAGAACUAGCUUUUAAAAAAGCUAACAAAGAAGAAGAACAGAGAAGCAGACAGCGGGCACUUCAGUAAAAGACGAG